AACGUAGGAGACGAACGUUAUCCGGAGUUACUGGGCGUAAAGGGCGUGCAGGCGGCUUGAUAAGUUCGGCGUGAAAUUUCCCGGCUUAACCGGGGGAUGUCGUCGGAGGCUGUCGAGCUAGAGGGUGAUAGAGGCGUGUGGAAUUCCGGGUGUAGUGGUGAAAUGCGUAGAGAUCUGGAGGAACACCAGUGGCGAAGGCGACACGCUGGGUCAUACCUGACGCUAAAACGCGACAGCAUGGGGAGCGAACGGG
rnacentral:rRNA from 1 species